UAAAACUCGUACCUUUUGCAUCAUGAUUUAGUUAGAAAAACUCAAGCAAAAAGCAUUUUAGUUUGAUUUCCCGAAACUAAGUGAGCUACUCCAAGACAGCCUAUUUAUAGGGCACACCCGUCUCUGUGACAAAAGAGUGGGAAGAGCUUCGAGUAGAGGUGAUAAACCUAUCGAACUUAGUGAUAGCUGGUUGCCCGAAAAAUGGAUUAAAGUUCAGCCUCUCAGCUUCUUUAUAAACCGAGAGAGUUAUUCAAAUGGGGAACAGCCCAUUUGAAGAAGGAUACAACUUUAAUAGGUGAAUAAAGAUCAUAUAAACAAAAGGUAAUAUGUUUUAGUGGGCCCAAGAGCAGCCAUCUCAGUAGAAAGCGUUAAAGCUCAGACAUUAAAUUCCGAUACUCAAUCUCACACCCUAAACAUAUCAGGCUAUCCUAUGCAUACAUAGGAGUAAUUAUGCUAAUAUGAGUAAUAAGAAGGAACCUUCUCCUUGCAUUCGUGUAACUCGGAAUGGACCAUCCACCGAAAUUUAACGCCCCCAAAUAAAGAGGGUAUUGAAAAAUAACCAGAAAAAUAUUCACCGUUAAACCAACACAGGCAUGCUUUUAAGGAAAGACUAAAAAGAAAAGAAGGAACUCGGCAAACAAGCCUCGCCUGUUUACCAAAAACAUCGCCUCUUGUAAAAAUAAGAGGUCCCGCCUGCCCUGUGACUAUAUGUUUAACGGCCGCGGUAUUUUAACCGUGCGAAGGUAGCGCAAUCACUUGUCUUUUAAAUGAAGACCUGUAUGAAUGGCAUAACGAGGGCUUAACUGUCUCCUUUUCUAAGUCAAUGAAAUUGAUCUUUCCGUGCAGAAGCGGGAAUAAUAUCAUAAGACGAGAAGACCCUAUGGAGCUUUAGACAAAAGGUAGAUCAUACUAAAUACCCUAAACAAAGGCUUAAAAUAAAAGAAUACUACCCUUAUGUCUUCGGUUGGGGCGACCGCGGGGCACAUAAAACCCCCACGUGGACUGAGAGAACUCCCAAAACUAAGAGCCCCCACUCUAGUAAACAGAACUUCUGACCAAAAAUGAUCCGGCAACGCCGAUCAACGGACCAAGUUACCCUAGGGAUAACAGCGCAAUCCCCUUUUAGAGUUCAUAUCGACAAGGGGGUUUACGACCUCGAUGUUGGAUCAGGACAUCCUAAUGGUGCAG
rnacentral:rRNA from 1 species